UACGAAGGGUGCAAACGUUGCUCGGAAUCAUUGGGCGUAAAGCGCACGUAGGCGGCUUCGCAAGUCGGAUGUGAAAUCCCUCGGCUCAACCGAGGACGUGCAUCCGAAACUGCGGAGCUUGAGUACUGAAGAGGAUCGCGGAAUUCCCGGUGUAGAGGUGAAAUUCGUAGAUAUCGGGAGGAACACCAGUGACGAAGGCGGCGAUCUGGGCAGAUACUGACGCUGAGGUGCGAAAGCGUGGGGAGCAAACAGG
rnacentral:rRNA from 1 species